CUUGGCCUUGGUAUGUUGAGCACCGUGCUUCACUACGAGUAGUCUAAUGAAGAUAUCAUAUCGCACGAUUGUCCGCUUUUCACUUUUGCCAAUUCCAAUCACUUCUCUAAGGAUUUGGCCAACCAAAAAAAAAAAAAAUGAAUCAAACUAUGAGAUUAAAAGUUUUGCAAAAGGGGGCUAAAAAUUGAUAUCAUCACCGCCUCCGGUUUAGCAUAGUAAGUUAACUACGUGAAUAUCCGAUUAUAUGAAAAUAACAAAUAGCUAGUUAACUACAAUAGAAAAUUAUUAAAUGAUCCCUUCCACCGUCAUCCCCAUUUGCCUACCCCCGUCAUAGCAUACAUGCACUGGGAUACGGGUAAGGAAAAUGAACUCCGAGGUAGGUAGGUAGUUAGUACUUCUCCUCAAAGUAUUCAAAAACGCCCUCCCGUAGUAGUAUCGUCGGCAAGCUUUCACAACAAGGGCAGAUGAUUGUAAGUUGGCAGCCCCGUUAACGAAAUCCCAACGUUGAGAGAGAAGCUUCCGCUGUCUGGAUGUACAGUAUCUUCCACUGGUAUAGG
rnacentral:sRNA from 1 species